rnacentral:tRNA from 1 species
GGAGGAGUGCUCCGAAUUGGUAAGGAACACGCUUGGAAAGCGUGCGCCCGCAAGGGCUUGUGGGUUCGAGUCCCACCUCCUCCG